UGCUUAUCUUACUUGCCGAUUAGUGGAGGAUAGCCAUAGGAAACUAUGGGUAAUACUGCAUGUUCUGGUUUACCAGCAAAGGGUUAUUUUAAAUAACUCGCUAAUUGAUAGGGAUAAGUCGUAUUAGCUUGUUGGUGAGGUAAUGGCUCACCAAGGCGAUGAUGCGUAGCCAGACUGAGAGGUUGAUUGGCCACAAGGGAACUGAGACACGGUCCCUACUCCUACGGGAGGCAGCAGUGAGGAAUAUUCCGCAAUGGGCGAAAGCCUGACGGAGCAAUGCUACGUGAAGGACGAAGGUCUACGGAUUGUAAACUUCUUUACUUGGAUGUACUCCUAAAAACUUGCAUCCGAGCAAAAAGCCACGACUAACUAUGUGCCAGCAGUCGCGGUAAGACAUAGGUGGCGAACGUUAUCCGGAAUUAUUGGGCGUAAAGGAUGCGUAGAUGGUAGGAUAAGUUACUGAUUGAUGCCAAACUCAAUUUGACGGAAGUCAGUAAUACUGUUCUGCUAGAGGGCAGGAGAGGUUGAUGGAAUUCUGUGUGGAGGGGUGAAAUCCGUUGAUCUGCAGAAGAACACCAAAGAAGGCGAAGGCACUCAACUAUUCUGCUCCUGACAUUGAGGCAUGAAAGCGUGGGGAGCAAACCGGAUUAGAUACCCGGGUAGUCCACGCCCUAAACGAUGAGCAUUAGACAUUAGACAUGAGUUUAGUGUCGCCGCUAACGCUUUAAAUGCUCCGCCUGGGUACUACGGCCGCAAGGCUAAAACUCAAAGGAAUUGACGGGGACCCGCACAAGCGGUGGAGCAUGUGGUUUAAUUCGAUACAACGCGCAGAACCUUACCAAGGCUUGACAUGGAGGGCAAAGUUGAAGAAACUCAACGGAGGUUAUCCCGACACAGGUGGUGCAUGGUCGUCGUCAGUUCGUGCUGUGAAGCGUAUGCUUAAGUGCUAUAACGAACGCAACCCUCAUAUUUAGUUGCUACCAUUCAGUUGAGAACUCUAAAUAGACUGCUAAGGCAAAACUUAGAGGAAGGUGAGGAUGACGUCUGAUC
rnacentral:rRNA from 1 species